rnacentral:sRNA from 1 species
GUUUGCACUCAUCGGGGAAGGGUGAGAACCUUCGACUAAGGUUCGACUCGAGCGCCAGCGAGAGAGCGUUGCCGCAGGCAACGACCCGAAGGGCGAAGCGCGCAGCGCUGAGUAAUCCUUCCCCCACCACCA